rnacentral:rRNA from 1 species
UACGUAGGGUGCAAGCGUUGUCCGGAAUUAUUGGGCGUAAAGAGCUUGUAGGCGGUUUGUCGCGUCUGCUGUGAAAUUUCGGGGCUCAACCCCGAACUUGCAGUGGGUACGGGCAGACUAGAGUGUGGUAGGGGGAGACUGGAAUUCCUGGUGUAGCGGUGAAAUGCGCAGAUAUCAGGAGGAACACCGAUGGCGAAGGCAGGUCUCUGGGCCACUACUGACGCUGAGAAGCGAAAGCAUGGGGAGCGAACAGG